CCUACGGGCGGCUGCAGUGAGGAAUAUUGGUCAAUGGGCGGGAGCCUGAACCAGCCAAGCCGCGUGAGGGAAGAAGGUACAGCGUAUCGUAAACCUCUUUUGUCAGGGAACAAAGGCGGGGACUAGUCCCCGGAUGAGGGUACCUGAAGAAAAAGCAUCGGCUAACUCCGUGCCAGCAGCCGCGGUAAUACGGAGGAUGCGAGCGUUAUCCGGAUUUAUGGGGUUUAAAGGGUGCGCAGGCGGCCUGUUAAGUCAGCGGUAAAAGCCCGGGGCUCAACCCCGGCGAGCCGUUGAAACUGGCGGGCUGGAGUUGGAGAGAAGUACGCGGAAUGCGCGGUGUAGCGGUGAAAUGCUUAGAUAUCGCGCAGAACCCCGAUUGCGAAGGCAGCGUACCGGCUCCACACUGACGCUGAGGCACGAAAGCGUGGGUAUCGAACAGGAUUAGAUACCCCUGUAGUC
rnacentral:rRNA from 1 species